AUAGGAAGGAAAGAAGGAAGCAGAGAAGUCAGGAGAGAGAAAGUGAAGAAGAAGGAGAAGAGCAGGGAGGGGAAGAGAAGGAAAUCUGUCAAUAGAAGGGGAAAGAAUGGGUGAGAAAAGAAACAAGGAAGGGGGCAGUAUGUGGAAAGCUCUUGCAGCACCUCUGAACAGGUGCAACUAAAGAGUAACUAAAGUCAGAGGAAAGUGAGAGUAAAUCAAGAAAGAAGUUGGCAGCCUGAGCUUUCCUGGACUCAAGUCUGCUUCCUCAGGCCCCACAACAAACUCCAGCUCCCAGAAUUCCACAGCCUUGAGCCAGAAAGAGUUAAAGCAGUGCCAAACCGGGUUAUUUCUCCAGUGUGGAUGCAGCCUUCAAAAAUCAAGUCAAGGAUCUGGACCACCCCUUGCUUUUCGGUUAGCCCUGAAAGGAACUGCUUUAAGUCCCUAUGUUGGGAAAUUGGAUUUAAGAAAAUAACAACAGCAGCAGCAACAGGGAGCAAGUAGUCCAUCAGGUAACCAGAAAGAAGUCCAGCUUCUCCUGUACCUUAACCCAGUGCUACUCAUUGCUGGUCCCUAAGCCAUAAGAAGCCUAGGACCAAUCCAAGCAUGGAUUCAAUGCCAGUCUUGCCCCAGCCGUCAAGGUCUUCCUCAAGUGAUGACACAAAACUUCCGUUGCCACGACCAUUGAAGAAGUUCUACUUGGGAGAACCAUUUGCCCUUGGGAUCACCCAGAUACUCACAGGAAUCAUUGGAAUAGCUUUUGGGGUUGUGUUGUGCAUCACAGAUAUAUACUACAUAGAGUUCCUUGUGAUGAAGACACCAUACUGGACUGGAAUCUUGUACAUAAUUUCAGGAUCUGUAUCAGUGGCAGCUGCCAGGAAUCCGAAGAUGUCAUUGGUCAAAGGCAUGCUGGGAAUGAAUGUUGUGAGUGCUGUCGCCGCUGGCGUUGAGAUCAUACUCCUCUGCAUUCCACUGUCAUAUUCCUUUCGGCGGUGGCAUAUCAUAUAUAGAUGUGAGCAUUAUGAAUUGAAAGAACAUAAUGAGCAGUGUAUUGUUAACGAAGUUAUCACUGACGUAAGUACAUAUCCCAUCAGGAAAAGUCUUUGGGUUGCUUGUCCAAAUGGACACUGCAGUUAGGUCUCUUGUGUUUUGUUUCCUCUCAAUGCUCUUAAAAAGUCCUGUGGGUUGCAAUCAAGUUAAGUUGUUCUGUUUAGUCCUGAAAUUUCCAGGAGGGUGUGUGU